rnacentral:lncRNA from 1 species
AAAAAAAAAAAGAGAAACGAACGGAAGAAAGGAAAAAGGGAAAAGAGAAAAGAAGAAGAAGAAGAAGAAGAAAGCUUUGGGUAAAGGCCUUAAGAAGAAUUGAGAAUUGAAAUUGAAUAUAUUAAAGCUCUCCUUUGACUCAAGAGGUUAAUUUCUUCUCCUCAUCUGUUGAAUUAUUUCACUAUAUUUAUGCAAUUUCAUGUCGUACAAAGGAAUUCAAUAUCAACUUUCUUGUAUAUAAAAAGAAAUAUAUAAUUACUAUGGAGAUAACAAGGCUAUAAGGGUUUGGUUUAAGCAAUGAUAGGUCUACUUCUAGAGGAAUAAAUUAUAUUAAAUAGUUUGAAAUUGAUAGAAUUAUGGACUAGUUCUAUGAUUAAAUAUAAAUACCUUUUUAUUUACAAGAUUUUUGGACUAAUUUAAAUUACUCAUAGCAUGGGUAAAUAUAAAUCCACAAAUUAAGAUUCAAACAUGAAUCCCGAUGAUUGAGUUUUCUAAAAUAGCUAUAGAUUAGCCUAAAUAAGGAAAUUAACAUGAGAUCGAUAUUAUGUAAUUAUAGAUUGAUUGGAGGAAUUUGUACGAAUUGCUCGAGGUGAAGCAUUUGGUAUUUCGGCACAAGUACUGUGAGUAGUAAUCUUACUGCAAUUUGUGUUUUCAUAACUUGCAUGAUUUACACAUGAUUUUUAAUAUGAAUAUGUUACCGAUUAUUUUGAGUUGCAUGUGAGACAAGUCUUUUACUCGGUAUGAUACCGAAAUAGUUAUUUGAGAAUAUUACCGUGUUUUAAAUAUUUUCGUUGUCACUAUAUCUGUUUUACCAUUACUUGAAUUUACUGUUAUCGAAAAGAAAUUAUAUGAUUUGAUAAG